UCCAGAUUAUGCUUCAGCUGCUGCCUUCGAAACGGAGGGCAGGGAGUGCCUCUGUGUGACCAGCUAAGCCUCUGACAAAGAAACUGCAAAGCACAACCAGAUUAAACAAACACCCUCCUGAGAAGUCCCUCUGCAGCCUUCCUCUAGGAUGCAUGCAGCUCUUGGCAGGCAGCUCUAAGGUCUUGGAGUCCUCUCCAGGCUGCAAACCCCAACUCCUUCAGCCUGUCCUCACAGCAGUCCUGCUCCAGCCCUUGGAUCAUCUUUGUAGUCUGCUCUGCAUUCUCUCCACCAAGAGGAAAUUGCAGCCUUGUUCUCUGCAGCCUAAGUGCAUGAGGUCAUCUGGCAGAAGCUGUUCUCAGUCCAAUCUGAAGGAUUCACAUCUGAAAUACGACCACUGCUGCACAGGGGGGCUAGGAACCAACUGUGAGAGAGAAGUGGUCCAGCUCUUUGGAUAUCUAUCCUACUAGAAAAGGAGGCUCUGUUACCAAGAGAGGAGUUUUCCCAACCUGGUCUUCCUGAGGAUCCUUUGGCUACCAUCUUCAUGAAUGAGGCUUCCUGAGGAGACAGAAACACACAACU